GCGUCGCUGGUGCAAUGGUCAGCAUACGCUCCGGGAAAGUGAGAUUCGGGUUCGAAUUCCGGCUGACGCA